CGUGCGCUUUUGAGACGUGCACGUAUGCGCACGGACGGGCGCGCGCGCAUGUGCGUAUCGCUCCCUCUUCCAGCACUUCCUUUUCCCUUGUCAGUUCUUACACACUUGCAGGAAAGGCUCGGUUUUGUCGACGUGCAGCUGCCAGGAGCGGAGCCGGGUGGCCGUGACGUGGCAGCACCCGCGGCGCAGCGCGAAGCCCCUGCUGUGGUUCAUUCUGGAGUGUCUUUCUGCAGCUCGAUAUAGCCAGGAGUACCAAUUUUUUUGGCAGAAAGUCCCCAAGCAGGACACACUCGCGUACAUCCAGGAAGAGGCAGCAGCGGGAAGCCAUAUCAACGUGUCGGUAUACGCAGUCUACCCGGACGGAGUAAGCAAACCGUGCUCUGGCCAAGUUUUUCCGGAGGAACACUUCCUGGACAGCACCUACAGUCAGACUUCCUACGAUGAUGACAUUGGAGCUUUUUUGGGACUGGGUGUCGGUGUGAUCAUAUUGU
rnacentral:lncRNA from 1 species